rnacentral:rRNA from 1 species
UUCGGUGGCUAUGGCGGAGAGGAAACACCCGUUCCCAUCCCGAACACGGAAGUUAAGUUCUCCAGCGCCGAUGGUACUGCAUGGGCGACUGUGUGGGAGAGUAGGACGCUGCCGAAA